CCAGACUCCUACGGGAGGCAGCAGUGGGGAAUAUUGGGCAAUGGGCGCAAGCCUGACCCAGCAACGCCGCGUGAAGGAAGAAGGCCUUCGGGUUGUAAACUUCUUUUCUUGGGGACGAAGAAAGUGACGGUACCCAAGGAAUAAGCCACGGCUAACUACGUGCCAGCAGCCGCGGUAAUACGUAGGUGGCAAGCGUUAUCCGGAUUUAUUGGGUGUAAAGGGCGUGUAGGCGGGAAUGCAAGUCAGAUGUGAAAACUAUGGGCUCAACCCAUAGCCUGCAUUUGAAACUGUAUUUCUUGAGUGCUGGAGAGGCAAUCGGAAUUCCGUGUGUAGCGGUGAAAUGCGUAGAUAUUAGGAGGAACACCAGUGGCGAAGGCGGCCUGCUGGGCUUUAACUGACGCUGAGGCUCGAAAGCGUGGGGAGCAAACAGGAUUAGAUACCCCGGUAA
rnacentral:rRNA from 1 species